rnacentral:rRNA from 1 species
GACAGAGGGUGCAAACGUUGUUCGGAAUUACUGGGCGUAAAGCGAGUGUAGGCGGUUCGGUAAGUCGGAUGUGAAAGCCCCGGGCUCAACCCGGGAAGUGCACUCGAUACUGCCGAGCUAGAGUAUCGGAGAGGUUGGUGGAAUUCUCGGUGUAGAGGUGAAAUUCGUAGAUAUCGAGAGGAACACCGGUGGCGAAGGCGGCCAACUGGACGAAUACUGACGCUGAGAACUCGAAAGCGUGGGGAGCAAACAGG